GANGAACGCCUUUAGGGAGGNCNAANACAUGCAAGCCGAGCGGNAUUGUUUCUUCGGAAAUGAGAGAGCGGCGUACGGGUGCGGAUCACGUGUGCAACCUGCCUUUAUCUGGGGGAUAGCCUUUCGGAAGGAAGAUUAAUACUCCAUAAUAUAUUGAACGGCAUCGUUUAAUAUUGAAAGCUCCGGCGGAUAGAGAUGGGCACGCGCAAGAUUAGCUAGUUGGUGAGGUAACGGCUCACCAAGGCGAUGAUCUUUAGGGGGCCUGAGAGGGUGAUCCCCCACACUGGUACUGAGACACGGACCAGACUCCUACGGGAGGCAGCAGUGAGGAAUAUUGGUCAAUGGGUGCAAGCCUGAACCAGCCAUCCCGCGUGAAGGACGACUGCCCUAUGGGUUGUAAGCUUCUUUUGUAUAGGGAUAAACCUACCCUCGUGAGGGUAGCUGAAGGUACUAUACGAAUAAGCACCGGCUAACUCCGUGCCAGCAGCCGCGGUAAUACGGAGGGUGCAAGCGUUAUCCGGAUUUAUUGGGUUUAAAGGGUCCGUAGGCGGACUUAUAAGUCAGUGGUGAAAGCCUGUCGCUUAACGAUAGAACUGCCAUUGAUACUGUAAGUCUUGAGUAUAUUUGAGGUAGCUGGAAUAAGUAGUGUAGCGGUGAAAUGCAUAGAUAUUACUUAGAACACCAAUUGCGAAGGCAGGUUACCAAGAUAUAACUGACGCUGAGGGACGAAAGCGUGGGGAGCGAACAAGAUUUGAUACCCUGGUAGUCCCCGCCGUAAUCGAUGCUAACUCGUUUUUGGGCUUUGGGGUUCAGAGACCUAGCGGAUGUGAUACGUUUGCCCCCUGGGGUGUACGCUCGCAAGAGUGUUACUCAAAGGUAUUGACGGGGGCCCGCACAAGCGGUGGAUUAUGUGGUUUUUUCGGAUGCUACGCGGGGGUCCUUUCCCCGUCUUAAUUGGGAGUUGACCGCUUUAGAGGUCGUGCUUUCUUCGGACAAUUUUCAAGGUGCUGCAUGGUUGUCGUCAGCUCGUGCCGUGAGGUGUUAGGUUAAGUCCUGCUACGAGCGCUACCCCUGUCUCUAGUUGCCGUCCUUCCGUUGGGGACUCUUGUGAGUCUGCCUCCGCUUGUAGAGAGGCGGGUGGGGAUGACGUCAUAUCAUCACGGCCCUUUCGUCUUGGGCCGCACUCGUAAUACUAUGGCCGGUCCUGCGGGCUGCUACACAGCGUUGUGAUGCUUUUCUCGGAAGCCGGUCUCGGUUCGGCUUGGAGUCUGCGGCUCGGCUCUGUGAUGCUGGGGUCGCUUGUGAUCGCGCAUCUGCCGUGGCGCGGUGCUUCCGUUCCCGGGCCU
rnacentral:rRNA from 1 species